CCUACGGGGGGCAGCAGUGGGGAAUAUUGGACAAUGGGGGCAACCCUGAUCCAGCCAUGCCGCGUGUGUGAAGAAGUCCCUCGGGUUGUAAAGCACUUUCAGUGAGGAAGAACGCCUGGUGGUUAAUACCCAUCAGGAAAGACAUCACUCACAGAAGAAGCACCGGCUAACUCCGUGCCAGCAGCCGCGGUAAUACGGAGGGUGCGAGCGUUAAUCGGAAUUACUGGGCGUAAAGCGCGCGUAGGUGGCUUGAUAAGCCGGUUGUGAAAGCCCCGGGCUCAACCUGGGAACGGCAUCCGGAACUGUCAAGCUAGAGGGCAGGAGAGGAAGGUAGAAUUCCCGGUGUAGCGGCGAAAUGCGUAGAGAUCGGGAGGAAUACCAGUGGCGAAGGCGGCCUUCUGGACUGACACUGACACUGAGGUGCGAAAGCGUGGGUAGCAAACAGGAUUAGAUACCCGUGUAGUC
rnacentral:rRNA from 1 species